UGUAAUGGAAGAGUUUCCCUCAUUAGCUCCUGUCUGUCUUGCAAAACUUUAUAUUCAUCCUAUAACAUUAUGAAUUUUAACUUUUUAAACAUAUUUACUCUAUGCAAUUAUUUAAAGAGCAAUUGCAGGUAACUUGGAAAAGGUAUCUACACCCUGCAACUGAAAUCCUUAUAGCCUAUAGGUAACUAUCCCUAAUAAGCAUGGAUUUGUAACCUGGAAAGUAUGCUAAGCUGAUCCGACCAGUUAUAUUACAUUGACAGGUCAAAUUUAUGUAUUAAAGUUAAAUCCAACAAUAAUUUCAAAACUUUCAUGGGGAUCUACCAUGCAACAACAAACCCAGUGCAAUCCCAUAGGUGGGGUAUAAGGGUAGAGUGUACACAGAGACGAUUUCCGAUAGACCCUUGGUUGAACGAACAUGACAAAGUAGCAGUGACAUGCUGCUACAACAUCAAGAAAUAAGAUAUGGAGGCUAAAGAAAAGAAUAGCAGGUAGUAAUAGAAAUCUAAAGAUAAGGAAAAAACAGAAGAAUAAUGCUUAAAACUCCGAGAAUGGGAAAGAAAUACAUCUGACUUACUACUAACCUUCUUCCCUAAUCUUUGGCCUCCACACCCUACUAUCAAGGUUCAUGUCCUCGCCUCCUCAGUGAGCUGAAGUUGUGGCAUAUUCUGCCUAAUUGCCUCAGCCCAGGGGAAGAUCUAGGCGGUCACAAAGGAUUCACCCGAACCCUCUUGGUAAAAAAAAAUACAGUAUAUAUAAGGUACCUUUUAUAUUUUUAUGUAUAUAUAUUGAUUUUGAAUUAUUGAAUCAUGAGUUGUUUUAGGGGAACAGUGGAUUGGAUGGUGGGAAGAAGUGAUAGCAAAGUCUGUAAGCAAGUGAUUGCAUCUCUUGUACCAUAUAUGUAUGCUAGUUUAGGUGUUAGAAAUUUUCUUGUAUCUUAAUGUAAUGCUGUUCAUUAUGGCCUUUUCAUGUCUCUGAAUCGUCUCCUCUAAUACUUAUUGUACACACUAAUGGAAAUUCACAUUUACUUUUUGCAAGAGUUGUAUUUACUUUUUCAGUCAGAAAAUAAAAGGUGUAUCUGUUAGACACGAGAUACUUGAUUUCAACUAUGUAUCUGUGUUAUCCCCUCAAUCAUGUGUGUUUGUUGCUCUAGAUGUUGAUCUAUCUACUAACUCGACUUUAUUCUUCGUUUCAUUGCUUGAUGACAGACUUAUGAUAACCCCUUGCAUUCUAAUCCAGCAUACUCAGUUGUGAAGCAUCACUUUGUUGACAUGGAUGAUACAGUUCCUCAGAAGAUUGUUGUUCAUAAGGACAGUCAUCGAGGAGUACAUUUUCGGCGUGCUGGUCCACAUCAGAAGGUUUAUUUCAGUUCAGAUGAUGUAAAAUCAUCUUCCAUUCAAUAGAAAAUGUGGUGGUUUGUGCCCUGGGCUAAAAGGAGCAGCUUUAAUUAUGAGGGGUGUUAGAUUCUGCAAAUUAAGAGGCCAGGUAUAUACCCACCCAAAAACAUGAGACAGUUUCGACUAAGGAAAUUAGGGGGUGUUGUCUCAAAGUUGUUGCUGGGAUACCAAGACAAUCGACAAUGAUAUUCCAGUAUUUCUCAUUUCUUCAUGUUUUAAUUGAUUAUAUUUUGUUCUGGUACAAUAAACAAUUUAAAAACCUUAGGAAGUAAUCUGAAAUUUCUUGCGAAGUGCAAAGCAUAAACUUUACUACUCAAUAUUAGAAGUACAGUGUAAUGUCUGGAAAUCUCAUUUUGGCAGUAUCCCCUCUCAUUUGACUUGAGCAACUAGUAGCUAAUAAUGGUAAAAACGAGUUUGUUCUGUUAUCAGAUCAUCGACAAGUCAUUUGGCUUUGAUACUGUAUAGGAGGUUCAACGUCCCAUCAAUGCAACACAUGUUGAAGCUCAAAGUCCUUAGAACGGUAUUGGUGUGGUGAAGCUAAUGGGUUGCUAAUAGCGGUAACAUGCUUUUACAAUGUUUUUAUGCAUGGCAAAUAGCCUAGUAUAGAAUUUUUUUAAUAUCAAGUUCUUAUAAAGACUUUUUCUUGUC